AUCACCUGGUUAUUUUGUUAAAAUGCAGAUUCUGAUACAGCAGCUCUCUGGUGGAGCCUGAGAGUCUGCAUUUCUAACAAGCUCCCAGGUGCUGCUGA
rnacentral:pre_miRNA from 1 species